rnacentral:lncRNA from 1 species
GGCAGGGGUGGUGCAUGGUGCUGUGAAGACACCGGGAAGGGAGUGUCGCUGGCCAAGACGGGCUUCCCCAAUAGGCACCCAGACGCGAGAACGUUCAGCAACUGGAAAUGAAGGUCAGAGCUGGAACCAGAAAUCCUAUGGGAACCAUGAGCAGGAGGUGUUGGAAAAGAUGACACAGCAGAGUGCUUUGCAGACAGAAGGCAGCCCCCAAGAUUUACCAGGAAAUGAAAGAGCACAGUGG